CAGACUCAUUAGUCACAAGCACUCAAUACAUUCAUUUCAAUUCUCCGUCCAUAUGUGAGACUGAGAAUUUUUUGGUUUUGUUUUCCCUGCUUGUGCUUCUUUAAUGGAGAUAUAUUAGUACGGAUGAUGCUGAAUCGUGGACCCAAGUGAUGGUACUACUGAAGUGGAACUCGGCGACAAGGCACCAGAAUUCAAAGCAAAACCCUUGAUUUUACUGAGCUAAAUGGAGUUCAGAAGCAGGUUUGCACGAAAAGCUUGAAGCUAAGUAUAAGAUGGGUGAUAUGCUAUGGGUUUGAAGAAUGAAGAAGAUUCAGGACCAAAAAGGUAACAACAUCAAACUACACUCGAAGAGCACGGCCUGUGAAGGGAGCUAAAUGGAGUCAAGAAGCAGGUUUGGGUGAAACAGGUCUGUGUUCGUGUUCCAACCAGAAAGAGCGAGAGAGAGAGAGGGAGAGGGUUCGAUUAUAAUGGGGAGAGAGAGAGCAAACAGACAUGAAGAAGUCAGAGGAGGAGAACCAAAAAGGGAAGCUUAUGGGUUUGAAGAAUGAAGAAGAUUCAGAACCAAGUAUAGAUCCUGGCAUGUGAAGAGAGCUAAAUGGAGUCAAGAAGCAGGUUUAUGUUUCGUUUUGCAGGUUUGCUUUAAAAGCUUGAAGCUAUUAUAAGAUCGGAGUAUGCUAUGGGGGUUUGAAGAAUGAAGAAGUUUCAGAACCGAAAAGAUACUCGAAGAGCACGGCCCGUGAAGAGAGGGAGUCAAGUAGCAGGUAUGCAUCAAUUGGAUGUGUUUGAAAAGAUUGAAGCUAAGUAUAAGGAUGGAGUUGUAGAUUCAGAACAAACACGGUCGCCUGCAUGUUCUUACAUCAAACUGAUCGAUUACAAAAAAAAGGGAAACGAGUGUUAAUAACGUAGCUUGCACUAUCAAUCUCAUUCAUAAAAAAAUCAAAAGCCAUCACAAGGCGGCGAGGGAGAGAAAGAGAGCAAUAACAAGUCAGAGGUUUGUGUCUGUUCCAAACCUGAAGCAUGAAGGUUUAGCACUGAGAGGGAGCUUAUCUGAUGAUGAGUCGUGGACCCAAAUGAUGGUAAAAUCCUCUUCACUAUCGGAGAUAUGUUAUGGGGGUUUUAAGAAUGAAGAAUUUUCAGAACCAAAAAGAUAACAUCAUCAAACUGAUUCUUCUUGUUAUAGUUACUCGAAGUCGAAGAGCACGACGGUCAGUGAAGAGAGCUAAAUGGAGUCAAGAAGCAGGUUUGGUUGAAAAGCUUGAAGCUAAGUAUAAGAUCGGAGAUAUGUUAUUUGUUUUGAAGAAUGAAGAAGAUUCAGAACCAAAAAGCUGAUAUGUGAUCGGCCUCUUGGACUGCCACUAGAGCGUCCAAAAAGUGUAAACAUGGAGAGGUUGCAUGUCCCCCAAACGGUGAAACUUCGUGGGGCUCUUUAAGCUCUUCUAGAAACCACCAGAGGAUUAUCUUGGCAGCUUCUCGUCCGAAGCCUGGGUGAUCACAGGUGGUGGUUAUGCAACUUUUGCUUUUCCAGGCUGAUAACGUUUUUCAUUCGUUAC